rnacentral:rRNA from 1 species
UACGGAGGGUGCAAGCGUUAUCCGGAUUUACUGGGUUUAAAGGGUGUGUAGGCGGGCUUUUAAGUCAGUGGUGAAAUCUCCAGGCUCAACCUGGAAACUGCCAUUGAUACUAUUAGUCUUGAAUUUUGUUGAGGUAGGCGGAAUAAGUCAUGUAGCGGUGAAAUGCAUAGAUAUCGGGAAGAACACCCGUGGCGAAGGCGGUUCUCUGGGACGGUACUGACGCUGAGACGCGAAAGCGUGGGGAGCGAACAGG